AUGGUUUCUUCUGUUCCAUGCACUUUGAAAUUUUAUACACUGGGGUUGAACUUUUCUUGCCUGGCUAGAUUUCUUCCUGCCUUGGUGGACUUUGAUGUUUUGAUCAGUCUAAUUGUUGAUAGCUACAUCUGCAUGUUCAUUCAUGGCAUUGACAUUGAAGUUCUCUCCCCAGCCUUAGCCCUUAGGCUGGUAAAAAUAAAUCCACUAGUCCCUAUUGAUACACAUACAUACAUACUCCCUCCGUUCGAAAAUACUUGUCAUCAAAAUGGACAAAAGGGGAUGUAUCUAGAACUAAGAUACAUCUAG
rnacentral:rRNA from 1 species